UACGAAGGGGGCUAGCGUUGCUCGGAAUGACUGGGCGUAAAGGGCGCGUAGGCGGCUCAUACAGUCAGAUGUGAAAUUCCUGGGCUUAACCUGGGGGCUGCAUUUGAUACGUGUGGGCUUGAGUGGGGAAGAGGGUCGUGGAAUUCCCAGUGUAGAGGUGAAAUUCGUAGAUAUUGGGAAGAACACCGAUGGCGAAGGCAGCCAUCUGGACCGACACUGACGCUGAGGCGCGAAAGCGUGGGGAGCAAACAGG
rnacentral:rRNA from 1 species